GACGAACGCUGGCGGCGCGCCUAACACAUGCCAGUCGAACGAGCGAGAGAGAGCUUGCUUUCUCAAGCGAGUGGCGAACGGGUGAGUAACGCGUGAGGAACCUGCCUCAAAGAGGGGGACAACAGUUGGAAACGACUGCUAAUACCGCAUAAGCCCACGACCCGGCAUCGGGUAGAGGGAAAAGGAGCAAUCCGCUUUGAGAUGGCCUCGCGUCCGAUUAGCUAGUUGGUGAGGUAACGGCCCACCAAGGCGACGAUCGGUAGCCGGACUGAGAGGUUGAACGGCCACAUUGGGACUGAGACACGGCCCAGACUCCUACGGGAGGCAGCAGUGGGGAAUAUUGCACAAUGGGGGAAACCCUGAUGCAGCGACGCCGCGUGGAGGAAGAAGGUCUUCGGAUUGUAAACUCCUGUUGUUGAGGAAGAUAAUGACGGUACUCAACAAGGAAGUGACGGCUAACUACGUG
rnacentral:rRNA from 1 species